rnacentral:rRNA from 1 species
GACGAACGCUGGCGGCGUGCUUAACACAUGCAAGUCGAACGGACAGGCCCUGCUUUUGUGGGGUGCUCGAGAGGCGAACGGGUGAGUAACACGUGAGUAACCUGCCCUUGAAUUUGGGAUAAAUUCAGGAAACUGGGGCUAAUACCGGAUAGGAGCUCCUGCUGCAUGGUGGGGGUUGGAAAGAUUCGGCGGUUGGGGAUGGACUCGCGGCUUCUCAGCUUGUUGGUAGGGUAGCGGCUUACCAAGGCUUUGACGGGUAGCCGGCCUGAGAGGGGGAUCGGCCACACUGGAACUGAGACACGGUCGAGAGUACUACGGGAGGCAGCAGUAGGGACUCUUCCGCAAUGGGCGAAAGCCUGACGGAGCAACGGCGCGUGAGUGAUGACGGUCUUCGGAUCGUAAAACUCUGUUAUUAGGGAAGAACAUAUGUGUAAGUAACUGUGCACAUCUUGACGGUACCUAAUCAGAAAGCCACGGCUAACUACGCG